UACGAAGGGGGCUAGCGUUGCUCGGAAUCACUGGGCGUAAAGGGUGCGUAGGCGGCCUGACAAGUCUGAUGUGAAAUCCCUGGGCUCAACCCAGGGCCUGCAUCGGAAACUGUCGGGCUUGAGUAUGGGAGAGGUGAGUGGAAUUUCCGGUGUAGCGGUGAAAUGCGUAGAUAUCGGAAGGAACACCUGUGGCGAAAGCGGCUCACUGGACCAUUACUGACGCUGAGGCACGAAAGCUAGGGGAGCAAACAGG
rnacentral:rRNA from 1 species